rnacentral:lncRNA from 1 species
GCCUGGUUCUGCACCACAUCUGCUGUGGAGAGCCGUGGUGACUGCGCUGGUGGGCUCAACCCUGGGGAAUCUGCUGCUUUGGUUUUGUCCCUGACUAUCCUGGGAGAUGGGCAACAGCUUCUGGGUGCAGGCACUGCCAGCAGCCCAGGGGAGGAGGAAGAGGAAGAAGAGGAAAAAGAUGCUGAGGAAUGGCCACGACAGCAAGGGCUGCCCCAGGCACAAUGCUCUUCAAGGUUUCUCAAGAGGCUUCAGCUGCUCUUUCAAGGCACAAGCACCCCAGAGCCAGGGCGGCACGGAGCUGGUCCCAGCAGAGCCCACACACUGGGGUUGCUUGGUGUGACCACAGCCACGCUCUGGUUUCUUCAUUUGCAUGGCUUUACUCCCACGAGGCCAAUAUCCCAUCCAGGACGGCACAGACAAGCUGCAAAGCCCUGCUCAGCAGUGGUGACUCACUCGAGUGAGAUGGGAAACUCAUUGCUCCUGCCAGCCCAGAUGCAAAUUGUUACCAGGCAGGGACCAGCAGGGAAGAUGUUCCUGUGGAGGGAAGGAAGCUGGAGGAGGACUCCACUCGGCUGGCUUGUCACUGCCCUUCAUUCGUCCCCAUCCUUACACUGCACAGUGAAGGUAUGUCAUCCUCUUUGUCACUGUGCACUGCUUGUGUCACCCAGCCAGUAUCAAGAACUUCUCUCUGCCAAUGUGCUUCUUAGCCACAGUCCUAGGUGUGCAUCCUGCUGGGCUUGGGGUCUCUGUCACCUCAGUACCCUGGUGUGGGAAGAGCUGUAGGGCACUGUUCUGGCAUGUGGGGCGGGUGCUGGAGUCCCCUUCCCACCACACUCCCCCAGCACCUCCAUGCCUCAGGUGAGCAGGCCUUGCUGUUAUUGCUUUUACAUCCUUCAGUCACUGUAAUUUGCUCUAGUGAACCCCUAAAACCCCACUGCUGAGCUGCUCUUGAGCUGGGAGCACUGGAAGUACAACAGUGCAUCAAGGGCUCUCCCUGGUAACCAUGCCACAGCCUCAACUUCCCCACACUCUUAAAUUAACUACAGUUGAAGCAGUCACAAGUCUUAAAUCCAGUCUCCUUGUCUGUAAUGUGACCUCUUACCUUCCUCUGAUCCCCCCAAUUAUAAGUGCUUGUUUUUGCUGUGGACAUCCACUCGUGUCUAAUUAGUGGAUUGUUUCUGUCAAGGACAGUAGCAGCCUCGACAGUGAGCCGUCAUUUAAGUAGUUUGCAUUUGUCUGCAGCAUUGGUGCGUUCAUAUACUCCUGCUCCUAAUUAACUGCAUCUG